AUAUAAAAGAAUUUGAAAUAUGAAGAAAAAUCGACUUUCAUUUUCUAAUAUAUUUUUAAAACGCUAUCACGAAUAUCAUUUACGUUAUUCGCUCAUUAUUUAUGUGCAUGUCUUUAUUUAAAAGUAACUAAAAAAGAAAUGGGCCGUUAAUGUAUUUUUAUUCAUAUUAAUAUCCCGACAAAAAGCGAGUAUUACAGACAUUUCUCGUGUAUUAUCAUACUAUGUGAUAAAAUUUAAUACAAUGAAGUCCAAUAGAACGCUUCUGCUGAGUUCGACUCCGUUCCGCCCCGGCGAAAACAAAUAAAUAAAUAAAAAUGGACAUUGAUUGUUACAAUGAUUCAGAGGUCAAAUACGUUCUGAAAGGUUCUUAUAACACUGGACCAUAUGAACUCGUUUGUUCAUCUACAGCAAUAAGCAGACAGUAUCUAACGUUAAUAUUUCUAACUGAUAUUAUUUUUGUAUGGUGAAAUGUGAAAAUAUGAAUUUAACAAAAAAAAUUUGAAGCAACAAUAAAUUAUUAUAUAAAAA